UCUCUAACUUGCAAAACUAUUCUAAAAAUUCCUUCAAACACAGAUACACACCAAUGACAAGAGCUUCAGUCUUGUUUCCUUAUUUAAUGAUUUUAUUUCUCGUAAUAUUUACCAUAAGUUUUGUGAAUGGUUGUUACUACCCGUGCCAUGGCCUACAUGCUUGUGGUAAUCUGCACUGCCCUGGUUGCACCAAGCAAUGCGUCAACUUUUGCUGUCUCUGUACCUGUAGUGGAAAUGAAAAACCUCAAUUAAACGUAACAAUUUAAUGUCUUUCUUGUAAAAUUUAUCGGUAAUAAAUAAGAGAAGUUCAAUUCUUCUUCAUCAA